GGAGAAUGACAUCUCAAUGGCAAUCUCUGCUAAGAUUUUUCUUAAAAAAAAAAAAAACUUCUUGUAAUCCACCAAUUUGUACUUUUUCACAGCAUGAAUAACAAUCAUGGGCCAAGUUCUCUGGCAUUCAACAUUCGCAGCUGAAAACCCUACCACAAACCAGAGGCCAUUAAGAUGUCAUGACAGAGCUGUUUCCUCCCAAAUGGAAUAAUCUUCUCUAAAAAGCCAGAGCAAGAGAGAUCUGUACAGCUAACCAUUCAAUAAGCUACAUCCCAUUUUCAUUCUUAUAAUGGUUACAAAAAUCUGUAGUGACAGAAACCAGGCUCUGACCAAAAGUAUGUCUGACUACGCUUCAGAAAAGAUGCAAGGAACCUUAAUGAAAGGAAAAGACAUCUGGAAAACUGUACAAGAUAUUUAUAGAAGGGAGAAGAUCUUCCUGAGCAAUUAAUUGCAUACUGCGGUUCUGUCGUGCUUUUCUUCAAGAGAUUCAGGGACCUACUUUGUAUCUUCUCAGCAACUCUGCAAAACGGUUACAGCUACCCAUCUGCAAACAAUUCAAGAUGUCACCUAAUUGUUACAUCCACAUGGAUGACUCAAUUCUCAUUUUAAUGUUUUAAUCCUGAGUUCUUUUUCAAAUGCAUCUAUGAUAUGAAAGAGGUACAACACCAGAUUUAUAUAUGAAUAUGAGCUAAAAAUAACAUUUCACUCCAUUUCUAAUUGGCCCAAUGUUCAGACUGUUCCAUGGGGAACAAUACAUGUUUGAAUCCAGGUACCUAUUAAAACACUGAUGAAUCAGACAGACUUCUAUGCUUUUCUCGUUCACUCUUAAUGAAAUAUAAAAGUCUGAAUCUGAAAAAAAAGAAAUAGGAUAAUAAAAAAAAAAAUCAAGCCUCAAAGUGCUAACAUAAGAAUGGAGUCGAAAUUAUGUUUCAUAACUCAGAAGCAGUUAUUUUA